UUCUACUCUUUAUGUAUAAACAGGUGAGCUGGUUCUACUCUUUAUGUAUAAACAGGUGAGCUGGUUCUACUCUUUAUGUAUAAACAGGUGAGCUGGUUCUACUCUUUAUGUAUAAACAGGUGAGCUGGUUCUACUCUUUAUGUAUAAACAGGUGAGCUGGUUCUACUCUUUAUGUAUAAACAGGUGAGCUGGUUCUACUCUUUAUGUAUAAACAGGUGAGCUGGUUCUACUCUUUAUGUAUAAACAGGUGAGCUGGUUCUACUCUUUAUGUAUAAACAGGUGAGCUGGUUCUACUCUUUAUGUAUAAACAGGUGAGCUGGUUCUACUCUUUAUGUAUAAACAGGUGAGCUGGUUCUACUCUUUAUGUAUAAACAGGUGAGCUGGUUCUACUCUUUAUGUAUAAACAGGUGAGCUGGUUCUACUCUUUAUGUAUAAACAGGUGAGCUGGUUCUACUCUUUAUGUAUAAACAGGUGAGCUGGUUCUACUCUUUAUGUAUAAACAGGUGAGCUGGUUCUACUCUUUAUGUAUAAACAGGUGAGCUGGUUCUACUCUUUAUGUAUAAACAGGUGAGCUGGUUCUACUCUUUAUGUAUAAACAGGUGAGCUGGUUCUACUCUUUAUGUAUAAACAGGUGAGCUGGUUCUACUCUUUAUGUAUAAACAGGUGAGCUGGUUCUACUCUUUAUGUAUAAACAGGUGGUGGUUCUACUCUUUAUGUAUAAA